GCCAAAGAGAUGUCUGGAAGUGAAAUCAUAAAGGCAAUCAAUAUUAGACAACUGCUUUCAUAAGUUUUGCUGUGAGGUGGAGCAACCAGAUGAGAGAAGUCCUAGGGGAGGGAUGCAGGAUCACAGGAAUGCUUGGCAAAGAUGGGGGAUCCUAGAGUAUGUUUGUAUGCUAAUAGAAAUGAGAGAGAAAGACACUAAUAAUUCAGGACAGAGUUGCAGAAAUCCUUGAGAAGGAGAGAGAAGAUGGGAUCCAGAGGACAAACAUGUUAGCCUUUCAUGGGAAGAGAAACACUUCUUCCAUGGUGGAAGGAAGAAAGAGCAUAUGGGUACAGACGCCAAUAGAGAUGAUGGUGGGAGGAUGAGAGAAUUCCCGCACAACUGUAUCUAACUUCUCAGGAAAAUGAGUGUGUAUAUUGGCCAGUGCAAGUAAUCCUACACUUGUAUUGAUCAGCAGCGAUGGCUCAUAAUCUAUGAAGACAGCAUGUCGCUGAGAUAAUCCUGUGGAGGCCGACUCACGGCUCUGUGGGCUAGAAUGUCACACCAGGCUUUUCCGUGUGAUUCUGUAAGCGAUUCUGGGCUACUCAUUCCCGUUCUCGUGCUUUGUGGUGGCAGUGGGCAACAAGGAACCUGCGCAAUCACCUAGUGAUGAAGUCUCAUUCAUCAUUUUAUUUUCUUAUUGGGAAUAAUUUAGCGGACAUUAAUUGAGUACCUACUGCACCAAGCAUUGUGCUCAGUAGAUAUAAAGAAUAAAACAUUGUUUCUAGCAUUAAGGAGCUUACAGUACAGUAAAUUUGCCACCCAUCUGAACUUAGAAAUCCUGCCACCGAUGGCUGUGUUUGAGAUUUUGAAAAAGAGAAGCUGAAACUGUGGGAGUCAUUAAAACCUGGUUGUUGUAACAAAGCUGGGAAAAGGAUCUCAUACGGCCACUGGGCUGAUCUCCACCGCUUGACAACCUUGUAAAAUAUGAUUGCAUCAUUUCAG
rnacentral:lncRNA from 1 species